rnacentral:lncRNA from 1 species
CAAACCUUGUUGGGGUGAAAGUUCACAGCAGGUCAGCUGAUUCCUGUUCCAGCACUUCUACUGCCCUGCCAUGCCAGGGCCCUUCUCAUUACCUUCCCAGGGCUCACUUGCCUCUUCCACUGCCAGCAGUCACUUGCUGUUCCCUGAGGCGUUCACCCCUUCCUCAUCCUCAGUGUGUGACGUGGGUGGGAUUAUCGCACACCCACUCCCAGGUGAGCAUGAUCCACUAAAUUCAUUGUCCGAUCCAUUUUCCCAAAUGGAAUGGUGUAUGAUGUAAAUCUGUCCAGAGCAAGACAGUGACUCCCAGCACUUGCACAGGAGCUGUGAAGAGCUUUUCUGUCCCACUAGACUGUAAGCUGGGUGAGGUCUGGAGCUACGGGAGGGGUGGGUGGGGAAAGUACCACCUGAUAUCUGAAGGGGAAGCCUGCCAACACGAAACUGAGCAGAGAGAGCAAACCUGGGUCAAGUAAACAUAUCAUUCACCUUCUAAACCAGGACCAUUCUGAAUGAAACAGAACAGGACAAAUGCUAAACCAGACAGGAUUCUGGCACAGUGUGCAUGAACAGGACCAUUCUGGGAAAACAGGGACACAGGGCAUCCUGCUGCCCCGGGGCAUCACCUGAACUGCCAGGAAAAGCCUCGACCCUGGGCUGAGCUAGUUGGGUGAAACCACCUCUCCCUCUUUGGCCUUUUUCAGUUAGAUGAUAAUGAACUAAUGUCACUGUUGAAGCCUAUUUGAGUUAGGAGUUUUGUCACCUGCAUAGGAGAGUUUUAAUUUACACAAAUAUGGUGCUUCCUAAGCAUUGUGUUUUUUCAAAUCUUUCCCUACAUCACAUCUUAAACUUGCAAUUAAAGGUGAUGAUUAUGUGUUUUAACUUUAAUAGAUAUUAAAACUUUAACAUUUUACUUGAAUACGAACUAUUCAAGAACCUUUAUAAUUUAUAGAGAUGUUGCAGGUUAUCUUAUUUUUACCAAUAACUCCGUGAAGUGGUAUUGUCUAAGAUUUGGUGAAGUCAAAAAUGUACCUGAAUUCACCCAGCUGAGGUGGCCCAUAUGCAGUGCUAUCUUUUCAGAGGCAAAACACCCACAACUCUGAUUUUCGCUGUUUAUCAAUUUCUGUGGGGUAACUAUUCCAACAAUGAACAAUUUCACGUUAUCAACUGACAGCACUGAGCGAACAGCUAGGAAGAGAUGCUUGGCUCUCUCACAAGCCAGCCGCAGUACCCCGCUGCACGGGACGUGAUCUAAGACAUCUGACUCUGUUUCUUCAGUUCUCCCCAUUUGUAUGCUCCAGGUGCUGGGCAGCAGGCAGGCAGUUCUGAACUGUGCUCUAAUUGCAGAUGUGCCCCAGGGCCAGUGGUGCUAGGGGCUUUCCAAAGAGCUAGGCAGCAAUGGCCAAGCCAAUUAGAAUCUGCAUUUCUCCAAUCUGUCUGAUGCCCACCCUGAGCAGGACUGUGUCCACAAACUUAGCACUCGCUGUGCUCCUACCUGGAUGUGGUUACUUCCGUGGCUCCAUUACCCCACUCUGCUCUGUUCAUCCCACAGCUGGUUUAGGCGAGUUACCCAGGGUUCUGCUCUGUCUCCAGCACCACUACACAGAAUAGGAAUAGGGACAGUAAGACAUCCAGAGGAGAAGUCAAGGGCUUGGAGUAAUUCUUCUGUGCCCUGGUGUCCUUUCGGCUGACUCAGUACUGUAACUGUCUUUGUAUUCUGAGAUCACUGCCAACAGACUUGGGCCCCCUGCAGAGAGAGGGACACUUAACCAUACCCAUGCACAUUCAUUAUCUCAUUUGAAGAUAUUGACUGGAUUAUAUGCUAAAUGUUUUGCUUCAGCAGAGAGAGCUUGGAGAAUGGUUGAGUCAUAUGAAAACCCUGGUGACAGCAACCUAAUUUGCAGUCCUGGGGCUUAGGGGAAAUUAGCCAAUCUUAAUAAGGAUUGCCUUAAAAGCCCAAACCUACUUGGUUGUGAGUAAAUACCACAGAAACCUUAAUUGCCAAAAAUCAUGGAGCUGUGGAAUAGCAACAGUAAAAGUAAUUUUGCAACUUGACAUCUAGAUUAUGCAAAAAUUGAAAAUAAGACUCUUCUGGUGACAUUACAACUCUAUCUGACUCUGGGUAAUGGGGUAAUGGAGCCACCGCUUUUUAAUUGUGACUGUUCUCUCUGCUCCUGUAAGUUGGGAAGGAAGGAAGCACUGCCAACACCACUGCAUUAGUAACAGCUAAUUCUACUGUGGUCAGUGCUCAGUCACCCACUUUCAAAAGGAUAACGAGACAAAUCAUACAGGCCUCUCAUUUUGGCAUUGGUUUUUCUACCUCUGUUUUGAAUAUGUAGAUAUGUCAGAGCGUCUGAGCAUUUCAUUAGAACAACUUAAGGAAUCAAGUUCAUGAAGAAUGGGGAAGAUACCCUCUCUCCCCAGCUGCCCUCCUGCAGUGUAGUUUCUAGGGGAAGAAAGGGCUCUUUCCCAGAAUGAUUGAAAGGUUUGUGCCCUCUCUAGUUUUUCCUACGGAAGAAGUGAUGGUGACUGUGACUCAUAUUGCUUUUCUACAUCCAGAGAAAAUAGAAAUGAAAUGAAUCAACCCAAUCUUUUUUUUUUUUUUGUAUCAAGAUAAAUGUGCUCAUGCAAGAUGUGUAAAAAGCAUAAAGCCAUGGUGAAGGCCAGAGUUCCAGUUCCAUUUCAAAGCCUAUGAUUUGGCUGAGGGGCUGACCUGCUGAAGAGCAAGAAGUAAUCCAUGGCAGCUUAUAAUGAAGAGGGGAGCUGAUGUGGAUGGCUAAGUCUGUAAAAAUCCAAAAGAACUGGAUAAGAGGGAGGGCUGGAAAAGUCAGAGAAGAAUUCAGAAAGGAGGAGACACUUAAGCUGGGCCUUGAACAAUGCACAGGGAAAAGACAUUCCUGCUAAUCAGAAUGAAAGCAUCAUGAGACACACAGAGCCGUGAAUGUUCAGGGCAUUUCUCUGCACCUGUAUAGUGAAUCAGCUUGGGUUCUCCCAUGGAAAGUGAGGAGAUGUUAACAAAGCAAGCUCCUCAGAAGAAUAUGUGUUAACUACUCAUAAUGUUAAGAAUAAAUUGACCCUGCCAUGAAAGAUAAGGUGGCAAAACCAGCCGCCGUUAACUGGGAAUUAACCCGGGUGCAUGUGUAUCAGACCGUGACUCAGAAUUAUAAUUCCUGGCACAUCAGCAUCCACAUAUAUUCAGAGGGAAAAGUCCUUCCGAUAUUUUCAGCUGGUGACCAAAUUUGAUUGGGCACAACUAAUUUGAUUUGCUGUGAAGUCAAUUUUGUCAUUAAGAUGACCACAAAAGAAACUAGACAUUGAUAAAUUCAUGAAUUAUUUAAAAUUAUGGACUCAAUGUAGCAGAUAUUGUAGACCCAAAGGACACAAGAGUAAUGAAAAUGUAGGAGCAUUACAUAUUUUUAGGAGUUUAAAUGUCUACAUAUUUCUAAAUCUGGAAGCAGCUUUGAUAUAUGAAGGACAAUGGCUUACAUUGUGACCUAAGACAUAUCCCUGGGGGGCCUAUAUUUCCAUCAAGCUAAUCACCAUUUUCCCUUGCAGGAGGUGGGAUGACCAAAAGUUCUGGAUCUUUCUAGCACAAUGUGUCACUUCGACCACAACCGAAGUUUAAAGAGACUCAACUCUUCCUAUAUAGAAACAGCAUAUUUCCCUCCCAUCUCCCUCAGACAAAUAGGCCCCUUGUCUAUGACACGGAGCCCUAGAGAAGGAAGUGUCUUGCCCAAGAAUCGCUCUGAGUGGAGCCAAGAGUUGCAUUUCAGGGAGAAAUCAAAAGCCAUAUAUUCUACCCCAAGCAAGUUGAAAAAGAGGGGAAUAUUCAGUAUGUGCAAAUACCAGACAGGGACCUCAUCAGAGGUAAGUUCUACUAUCUAUAAGAAAAUUAAGCAAACCAUUGAAAGAAGUUAGGGACUCUCCUUCCAUAAAUAUUUAGGGAUCCAACUUUUUUUUUUUGGUGUGUGUGUGUGUGUGUGUGUUACUGAGAAUUGAACCUAGGGACUCGUAAUUGCUAAACAAGCACUCUGCCACCAAACUACAUCCCCAGCCCCAGAGGUUUUUAAUAUAGUAUUUAGUUAGAGACAGUAGAUGUCAAUAAUUAGCCCUCUGUACAUGGUUUCUACUAAACUUCUGCUCCCAAAUAUCUUUCUAUGGGAUGAUUUUAAAAAUUUUAUUGGGAAAACGGAAAAGCCCAAAAUGAGCAAGUAAAAACUUUACAAUUAAGUGAAAGCAGGAAGAAAAGACUUUUGACACAUGUUGAGAAUCUUGGCUGCAAACAAAAAAGACCGUCAGAUCACCUUGGGAAACCCGGACAUGUGUCAGGAGAAUCCGAGAGGACUGGAGCAGACGCACAGGCCUUCAGGAACAGUGGCAUCUCUGGGUGCAAUGUUCUGCCAUCUUGCUCUGGCAGCCACGCAUACUCAUCCUCUUCUCGCUCCUGACCAGCUUCCUCUUGGUUUCUGCUCCCUACCAUCAGCUUGCACGUGGCUUCUGGCCCCUUGGGCCCCUCUCCAACCGAGACCCUUCAGUUUCAGCUCCCUGGUAUUCGCUAGCACAGUGCUUCACUGUAAAUUCUCAGAGUAUGAAUCUGAUUGGAUCAGAUCACCUAUUAGGGUCAAGUCACAUUAUAGACCAUUGUCCAGCCAAUGCAAUGGCUGUCCUUAAAUCAACUGCCCACCACUGGUCUAAUCAUCAAAACCAAUGAGGGAUGGGACGCAAAACCAUUUGGUCCAAGCAUUUCUCACCAGAAAGAGCUGAGGUAUGGGCAGGCUCUGAUUGCUGUCUCUAUUAAAUUGCAAUGCUACCCAGAAGAAGAGCUUUUAAACUGCAGCUUGAGGGCAUGUUCUAUUAUUUUAUUCAUGCAAUCAUUUAUUCAUUCUGGCCUAUCUCCUAUUAAAGAAGAUUUGAGAUGACUUACAAAUCUGUAUAUGAUAUGUUAGGAUCAAAUAGUUGAGAAAAAUAUAGGCAAACAGAAAAGAAAAAAGGAAAAAAAAAAAAAGAAAGAAUGGGAAAGCAAAAAGCCAGGAGCAAAAUUAACAUCGUGUAGUACAUUAACAUUCAACACUAGAAAAUUGCUAAAGGGGAGUGUUAUGAUCUGCAUAUUUUCACCCCCCAAAAAAGUUCAUCUGUUGAAUCAUUACCCCCAAUGCAAUCGUAUUAAGAAGUGAAGCUUUCAAGAAUUGAUUAAGUCAUCAGGGCAGAGCCCUCAGAAAUGGAAUUACUGCUGUUCUAUGAGUCCUGAGGGAACUGGCUUGCCUUCCACCUUGUGAGGACACAGCAAGAAGGUACUAUCUUCAAAGAAGAGAGAGAGCCAGACACUGAAUCUGCUGGUACUCUCUGCAUGGACUUUCCAACCUCUAGAAUUGUGAGCAAUAAAUUUCUAUUGUUUACAAAUUACCCAGUGUACUGUAUAAGGUAUUUUAUUCUAGCAGCAAGAAUGGACUAAGACCUUGAAUCUGUGUCUGAAUCUGAGACCUGCCAAACUUAAUAUCAAGUAGCUACGGACAGGGAAGAGUCCUGGCAGAAAAAGUCAUUUACAGUAGAAUAGAUUACUUGCCACGCCUAUGGAAGCCUGUCCCUCCAAAGAGAUGUCCCUCUUCUCUCUGUGCUGAUUUGUGGCCUGCCUUGAUAGAGAAGGCGAGUCUAGAGUGUCUCCAGGCUUUCCCUGGUCCUGAGUUCAUAACGAUAGCCGAGAUUUCAUUGACUGCACCAGAAACAAAUCAUUAAGAAGGUGAGAUUUUAUGGAGCAAAAACCAACCUCCAACACAACUUCAAUCCAUGGAUACCUCAGUCCCCAGCCCCCUCCCAAACUGGAGACAUAGUUUGAAAGCUGAAAAGGCCGAUCAUAAAUUUCUCAUUUCUUUUUUAUUGUGCAUAGUAAGGCAAGAAGUACACGGGAAGGCUGGCUCAGGGAUUUUGCUGCUCUCCAG